GACGAACGCUGGCGGCGUGCUUAAUACAUGCAAGUCGAGCGAAUCGAUGGGAGCUUGCUCCCUGAGAUUAGCGGCGGACGGGUGAGUAACACGUGGGUAACCUGCCUGUAAGACUGGGAUAACUUCGGGAAACCGGAGCUAAUACCGGAUACUUUCUUUUCUCGCAUGAGGGAAGAUGGAAAGAUGGUUCUGCUAUCACUUACAGAUGGACCCGCGGCGCAUUAGCCAGUUGGUGAGGUAACGGCUCACAAAGGCAACGAUGCGUAGCCGACCUGAGAGGGUUAUCGGCCACACGUGGACUGAGACACGGCCCAGACUCAUACGGGAGGCAGCAGUAGGGAAUCUUCCGCAAUGGACGAAAGUCUGACGGAGCAACGCCGCGUGAGCGAAGAAGGCCUUCGGGUCGUAAAGCUCUGUUGUUAGGGAAGAACAAGUACGAGAGUAACUGCUCGUACCUUGACGGUACCUAACCAGAAAGCCACGGCUAACUACGUGCCAGCCGCCGCGGUAAAAC
rnacentral:rRNA from 1 species